UAGGGAAUCUUCGGCAAUGGACGAAAGUCUGACCGAGCAACGCCGCGUGAGUGAAGAAGGUUUUCGGAUCGUAAAACUCUGUUGGUAGAGAAGAACGUUGGUGAGAGUGGAAAGCUCAUCAAGUGACGGUAACUACCCAGAAAGGGCGGCUAACUACGUGCCGG
rnacentral:rRNA from 1 species